ACUCCUACGGGAGGCAGCAGUGGGGAAUCUUGGACAAUGGGGGCAACCCGUGCAUCCAGCCAUGCCGCGUGAGUGAUGAAGGCCCUAGGGUCGUAAAGCUCUUUCGCCUGUGAAGAUAAUGACUGUAGCAGGUAAAGAAACCCCGCGUACAUCCGUGCCAGCAGCCGCGGUAAUACGGAGGGGGUUAGCGUUGUUCGGAAUUACUGGGCGUAAAGCGCGCGUAGGCGGACU
rnacentral:rRNA from 1 species